GCCAUCUGGUUUUCUCAGUGUAUUCAAUACUGAGAAAACAGUCUGGAAGUGCUCCAUUCGCUGUGACUUAUGCCCGAUCUAUUUCAUACCGAACCAAUCACAAGUCUUGGGGUGUUUUCCUUGUUUUUGA